rnacentral:rRNA from 1 species
AGCGAACGCUGGCGGCAGGCCUAACACAUGCAAGUCGAACGAACCUUUCGGGUUUAGUGGCGGACGGGUGAGUAACGCGUGGGAACGUGCCUUUAGGUUCGGAAUAACUCAGGGAAACUUGUGCUAAUACCGGAUGUGCCCUUCGGGGGAAAGAUUAAUCGUCUUUAGAGCGGCCCGCGUCUGAUUAGCUAGUUGGUUGAGGUAAUGGCUCAUCAAGGCGACGAUCAGUAGCUGGUCUAGGAGGAUGAUCAGAGACACUGAGAGUGGGCAACAGUCCAGAAUCCUACGGGAGGCAGGAGUGCGGGAUCCAGCGAAAUCGGCGAAAGGAUGAAGGAGUCAUGCUGGGUGAAUGAUGAAGGUCUUAGGGAUGUAAAAUUCUUUAACAGGGGACGAUAAUGACGGUACCCGGAGAAGAAGCCCCGGCUAACUUCGUG